rnacentral:rRNA from 1 species
UAGGGAAUCUUCGGCAAUGGACGAAAGUCUGACCGAGCAACGCCGCGUGAGUGAAGAAGGUUUUCGGAUCGUAAAACUCUGUUGUUAGAGAAGAACAAGGACGUUAGUAACUGAACGUCCCCUGACGGUAUCUAACCAGAAAGCCACGGCUAACUACGUGCCAGCAGCCGCGGUAAUACGUAGGUGGCAAGCGUUGUCCGUAUUUAUUGGGCGUAAAGCGAGCGCAGGCGGUUUCUUAAGUCUGAUGUGAAAGCCCCCGGCUCAACCGGGGAGGGUCAUUGGAAACUGGGAGACUUGAGUGCAGAAGAGGAGAGUGGAAUUCCAUGUGUGGCGGUGAAAUGCGUAGGUAUAUGGAGGAACACCAGUGGCGAAGGCGGCUCUCUGGUAUGUAACUGACGCUGAGGCUCGAAAGCGUGGGGAGCAAACAGG